CAUCUUUUUGCUGUUUUUCUAAAUAGAAGAGUUUUGCUUCUACUGUAUGAGCCUUUCCUGUUUGCACAUACUUGGUACACAAAAGCUAAACUCACUAUGAAGUUAAAUAUCCUGAAUGGCAUUAACCUGGAUGCUGUCAUUAAUAAUGUUAUAUUCUCUCAAUAAUUAAUAUGCUUAGUUAUUUUUGCUUUUUUUUUUUUUUUUUUAUUACUUUAAACAGCAAAUACACAAUGUUGUCAUUUCAUUGCAGCUUGAGAAAGGAGACCAAAAAGAAAGAAAACAAGUGUGAAAUAUGAACCCCUCGCUGCACACUCUCCACCUCUGCCCAGGACUACCUUCAGAAGAUAGGCUCAUUUUAUGAAUACCUUUGUGAAGGUGGCAGUAGCUGAACGGCCAAUCAGAAUGAUCAGAUGGCCUGACGGACCGACGAGCUCCGACACAGAUUCAACAUGUCGAAUCGGCCGAAAAAAAGCCAACGAGGACCAACUUCAGCCGACGGUGCAGAACACACUGAGAAAACUUAGUCGGCUGAUGAACAAAAACUGCCCGACGGCCGACCGUCAGCUUGCUACUUCUGGCGUGAGACAGGAAAAUCCAGUCUUGAGUCUUGUACCAAAUCAAUGUACAUCUGUAGAAAGGACAAUUCUAGAAACUCUAGAGAAAAUGGACCUGAAGAUCAACCACCUGACUUCACUGAUCCAGUCUCUAGUGGGAAACAGGCGCUUUUUACCCCCAAAUGCAGAACGAAGAAGAGGAUGGCAUCUUUCCUCUUGCAUCCACUGAAUAUCUAGACCGGCUGGAACAAAGUUUGUUAGACAGAGGGUUUAUGCAGAGAAUGGUAAUUGUCAACCUACUAAUGAAAUGAAGUGUGUAUGUUUACACUUUACUUGCUAAAAUCUGAAAUGAAGAUUUUGUAAAAAAAAAAAAAAAAAAAAAAAAAAAAAAAAAUCUUUUUUCUUAUGCUCACCAAGGUUGCAUUUAUUUUAUCAGAAAUACAGUGAAAACAGUAACAGUGAAAUAUUACUACUAUUUUAAAUAACUUUUCCAUUUGAAUAUAUUGUAAAAUGUCAUUUAUUCUGAUCAAAACUCGAUUUUCAGCAUCAUUACUCCUGUCUUCAGUGUCACAUUACAUUCCCAUGAGCCAGAGUGGUCAAUUAUUGAGGAUGGUUCUUAUUAUUAUCUACAUUAAAAUAGCUUUAAAAUUCUGCUUCAUAUGUUUGAGGAAACAGUGAUCCUUUAAUAAGGUUCUUUGAACAGAAAGUUGUUUUACUGUUUCACUACAUUUUGUAUCAAAUCAUCCACUUCGAAUGUACUGGUAGGCUCAGAUGCCUGUUAUCAUCCAUCCACAUGGUUAAUCAGCGAUACAAAUACAAGAGAAGGCUCCAGAUCCAAUCAAAUUGAAGUCCACUGGAUGACGUGGCAUCGUUGCGGUAUUUCCCGCCCGGUUGAUAUUUUCAGGUAAGUGAUAAAACCUAGCAUUUAAACUGAAAUUAAUUAGUAAAUAAACAAUACAGAAAAUGUGUUUUAAGGUGGUGUGAUAUGAGAUAACCGUGUUGCAAUUGUGUUUGUUAUAUAUUACGUUAUUAACCUAUCGAUAUGUUACAUGCUUUAUGUGAGCAUUAACAUUGCUAAUUAGCAUGUU